UUUCUAAAUACUAUAAAUCACAUACUUCUUAUAUUCAUUUGUUUUCCUAUGGCUAAUUUAUUAAUUCAAUUAAUAAAUCAAAUGCCAAUUGAGGGAUUGUAAGAACAAAUUUUUUCCUGAACAUUCUUUUUCUUUUAUUUUCAUUGAUUUCAGAAAGAGAGAGAUAGAAACAUCAAUGAUGAGCAUCAUUGGUCAGCUGUCUCCUGCAAGCCCCACACUGCCAAUCAAGCCCACAAUCCAGGCAUGUGCCCUAAUGGGGAAUUGAACUAUGACCUCCUGGAUCACAUAGGUCGACUGCUCAACCACUAAACCACCCGACUAGGCUGAACAUUUUUUUCAUUUAACUACAAAAACUGUUUCCUUAGGUCAGAAAUUAUCCAUACUUGGAAUAUCUUAAAUUAUAAUAUAGGUACAUUCCUCCAUGUGCUAAGUACUGUAACACUAACAGGGAAGUUCUCAAAACAGAAGCAAAGGGGGAAAAGGAAUGGUAUUCUCAAUUUAGUUUCCCCAGAGUUGGAAGGAUGCCUACCAUCUGUGCUUAGAUGUCUAUACAUAAAAAAUAAUGUUGGUACCUCUUUUACAUUUCUUUCAUAUUCUUGAAAUUAAGAUUUGUAGUAUCUGUUUUCUUCCAAGACUAGAAACAUCUAACUGCAAACUAUAUUAUCCAUUAAAAUAUUAUUUUAUUAGAAUAUGGAGAAGCCUUAAUGACAAAGCAAAAUAUGGCAACCAAUAUUCAAUAUAUUCUUUUACUUAGUGGAGUCUUUCAAGAAAUUGAUUUAGUAUACUUCUCAACUUAUAAAUGUAUUGAGAUAUCUAGGUUUGCAGUAAAAUAGGAUCAGUGUGAGUAUCAACUAUUCAUUUGCAGAUAAAGAACAACAUAUGGUAAUAUACAGCCAGAGAUGAAAUUAGCUGCUUUGAACUUUUUAAUUAAAUAAAUUGAAAACACUUUAAAGUUUUAAGUUGAACUGGUUUUAUUAAUGUUUAGAAGGAUUAAGAGAAUGUUUAAUAUGAAAAUAGAAGAUAUAGUUUUAUUUCAAUUUUCCCCACAACUAAAGGGUUUUUUUUCUCUCACUAAUGAAUAUUUUAAAAACAAUUUCAUAAUUCCUAAACUUCUAAUUUCAAACAUUUGUCAGAAUUUUGCAACUUAAGUUUCCUAUAUCUUCUAUAUAUUUCUUAUUGCUAUCAGUCUUGCCAUUUCCUGUCAACCCUAAAUUUAAAUUUAAAAAAAAAUCAAGGUGACAAAGAUUACACUGAUAUACCACUAAAAUAUAGAAAUAUAACUUUAUGAAUUUGGCUCACUCUGAAAGAAUAUUUACUAAUGCUAAAUAAACACCAGAAAUCCAGUGCCAGAAAUAGGGUCUAGAAUACAAAAAGGAAA